rnacentral:rRNA from 1 species
UACGUAGGGCGCAAGCGUUGUCCGGAAUUAUUGGGCGUAAAGAGCUCGUAGGCGGCCAGUUGCGUCUGCUGUGAAAUCCCGGGGCUCAACCCCGGGCUUGCAGUGGAUACGGGCUGGCUGGAGGCAGGCAGGGGAGAACGGAAUUCCCGGUGUAGCGGUGAAAUGCGCAGAUAUCGGGAGGAACACCGGUGGCGAAGGCGGUUCUCUGGGCCUGUACUGACGCUGAGGAGCGAAAGCGUGGGGAGCGAACAGG